UCAGGAAAUGCUCCUUUGAGUCAGGAGGAAGAGGAUUUUCACAUCACUGGUCCCUCCUGCUGAGGAGGUAGCAGGCACCAGGAGUUUCAGUGGAAAGCAGUAACUAGAGAGGCGUUUCCAGGGCAGAGCUUGGCUAUGCUGCCACGUUUGAUGAUGUCCUUCCAUGUCUCUUUAAAAGAGUCUGGCUGGAAGCACCUGGGGCCUGGAAGAAUGGUCUGCCCUUCAGCAGUUUCCUGCCCCUGUCUCCAUGCCACCCUCCCCUGCCCAAAUGCAGAAACAAAACACUGCCUUCAAAGGCCUGUGUCAGGCGGACCAACUACUGACCCACGCCCUGUGUGGCUGACCAGCCACUUCCGCUCAGCUGAGCAUGAGCUCAUUGGAGCCGUAAGUGCCUCUGUUCUUUUGCUCAGGGCAUCUCGGAGCCUUACCUCUGCCCUCCCAGGAUGUGCGGCCUCAGCCCUGAGAUGGGGUUCACUUUGGAGGCCCUCUGGCUUCUCAGGACUCCAGCUGUGUAGUGUGCUGUGGCUGCCUUACCAAAGCACCACAAACUAGGUGGCUUAGAAUAACAGAAGUAUAUUGUCUUUAUAGCUCUGGAGGCUAGAAGUCUGAAAGUCACAUCUUUGGCAGGGCUGAUUCCUUCUGAGAUCUGUGAGGAAGCAUCUGUUGGAGACCUCUCCCUAGGUUCUGGUAGCCUCCUGCACUCCUUAGCUUGUAGACAACCUUCCUUUUAUGUCUUUACAUCAUCUUUUCUCCAUCCAUGUCUGUCUCUGUCCAAAUGUUCCCUUUUUAUAAAAACAUCAGUCAAAUUGGAUUACAGAUGGGAUUCAGAGAAAAACUUUGGUUGCUUCUCAUUUUAACCUAAUUACCUUGGUAAAGAUCCCAUCUCCAAAUAAGGUAUGUCAGGGCUCAGAAAACAACACCCCGAAAUGAAGGCCUCAGAAGCAACCAAUUCCAGGUGGAGGUUGUAGUGAGCCGCGAUUGCACCACUGUACUCCAGCCUGGGCGAAAGAAUGAGACCCUGUCUCAAAAAAAAAAAAAAAAA
rnacentral:lncRNA from 1 species